ACGUAGGGGGCAAGCGUUGAUCGGAAUUACUGGGCGUAAAGCGUGCGCAGGCGGUUAUGCAAGACAGAUGUGAAAUCCCCGGGCUCAACCUGGGAACUGCAUUAGUGACUGCAUAGCUAGAGUGCGGCAGAGGGGGAUGGAAUUCCGCGUGUAGCAGUGAAAUGCGUAGAUAUGCGGAGGAACACCGAUGGCGAAGGCAGCCCCCUGGGUCGACACUGACGCUCAUGCACGAAAGCGUGGGGAGCAAACAG
rnacentral:rRNA from 1 species